rnacentral:rRNA from 1 species
GACGAACCGUGCGAACGUUAUCCGGAUUCACUGGGUUUAAAGGGUGCGUAGGUGGGCAGGUAAGUCAGUGGUGAAAUCUCCGAGCUUAACUCGGAAACUGCCAUUGAUACUAUCUGUCUUGAAUUUUCUGGAGGUAAGCGGAAUAUGUCAUGUAGCGGUGAAAUGCUUAGAUAUGACAUAGAACACCCAUUGCGAAGGCAGCUUACUACGGGAUAAUUGACACUGAGGCACGAAAGCGUGGGGAGCGAACAGG